rnacentral:rRNA from 1 species
UGGGGAAUAUUGCACAAUGGGGGAAACCCUGAUGCAGCGACGUCGCGUGAGCGAAGAAGGUUCUCGAAUCGUAAAGCUCUGUCCUAUGAGAAGAUAAUGACGGUAUCAUAGGAGGAAGCCCCGGCUAAAUACGUGCCAGCAGCCGCGGUAAUACGUAUGGGGCGAGCGUUGUCCGGAAUUAUUGGGCGUAAAGGGUACGUAGGCGGUCUAUUAAGUCAGGUGUGAAAGCGUGAGGCUUAACCUCAUUAAGCACUUGAAACUGAUAGACUUGAGUGAAGGAGAGGAAAGUGGAAUUCCUGGUGUAGCGGUGAAAUGCGUAGAUAUUAGGAGGAAUACCGGUGGCGAAGGCGACUUUCUGGACUUUUACUGACGCUCAGGUACGAAAGCGUGGGGAGCAAACAGG